rnacentral:rRNA from 1 species
GGCGCACGGGUGCGUAACGCGUGGGAAUCUGCCCUUUGCUACGGAAUAACUCAGAGAAAUUUGUGCUAAUACCGUAUGAUGUCGCAAGACCAAAGAUUUAUCGGCAAAGGAUGAGCCCGCGUAAGAUUAGCUUGUUGGUGAGGUAAAAGCUCACCAAGGCGACGAUCUUUAGCUGGUCUGAGAGGAUGAUCAGCCACACUGGGACUGAGACACGGCCCAGACUCCUACGGGAGGCAGCAGUGGGGAAUAUUGGACAAUGGGCGAAAGCCUGAUCCAGCAAUGCCGCGUGAGUGAUGAAGGCCUUAGGGUUGUAAAGCUCUUUUACCAGGGAUGAUAAUGACAGUACCUGGAGAAUAAGCUCCGGCUAACUCCGUGCCAGCAGCCGCGGUAAUACGGAGGGAGCUAGCGUUGUUCGGAAUUACUGGGCGUAAAGCGUGCGUAGGCGGUUAUUCAAGUCAGAGGUGAAAGCCUGGAGCUCAACUCCAGAACUGCCUUUGAAACUAGAUAACUAGAAUCUUGGAGAGGUGAGUGGAAUUCCGAGUGUAGAGGUGAAAUUCGUAGAUAUUCGGAAGAACACCAGUGGCGAAGGCGACUCACUGGACAAG